rnacentral:lncRNA from 1 species
CAAGAUUUAUAAAAAAUGAAAAAUUCAUUUGUAGUGCUUGUCAUGAGCCUUGGUGUCAGAAUUGAGAGGAAAGCUGUUGUUGUUAGCAUCAACAGGGCUGCUGCUGAAAGAAUGGGACAGGACAGAUCUCUGGGUUAGGUGAUGAGCAGUUAAUGCAAGUGAGAUGGGAGGGAAACAGACUGAGUGAAUGGAUGCUUCCAUAUGGCUGAAGCGAGAUGUGUCCGUGAGGCAAAUGGAGCAGCUGGAAGUGAGGAUGCUGAGGAUUUCUGCAGGACGAGCCCUGUUUUUAAUAGAGAUGGUUCCAGGAAGACUUAGUGUCUCUCUGAGACACUCUGAAAGUGUCUCCUUUGACACAGAGGCCUCUCUGUAAUAAUGAAGAUGGCUCAUAGACAAAUGUGACAUCAUUAACACACUUUUUAAUAUUUUUUUUGUUGUAUGUCUUUUGAGUUUCUCAGCUGGAAGGAACCUGGUGAAUGGAAUCGCUGUGUGACUAAUGAGCUGUCUGUGGAACAUCUGCAGUCUCAAUACCUGCAUCUCCAGUGAAAAUAGUCUGGGAACUUCUGCCUUAAUGAAACUUCAGACCACAUACCUAGAAAAGACAGGGGAAAUUAGAACUGGACCAGUGUAUGUAGAAGGUCGGGCUACAGCGACAGAACACCAGCUCCCCAACUUCCAACCAGCACCUCAGAUGCAGGUUAGCAUCCUGGAUUUUUAUGUUUCCAACUUGAUAACCUCUCUGUCUGGAUGACACUUGCAAUCCCCAGCACAGGGCUUUGGCAAUUUAGAAAUAGAUAAUGCAUCUAAACUGUAAUCCUCUGUAGGGAACUGUGCAGUAUAACUGAAUCAUUAUAGUACUGCUUGCCUCAUGGAAAUUGUUCUAACACUUCUGCUCUCGUAAUGUAAGGCAGCUGUUGGGCAUAGAAAUCUCAUUCCUAAACACCAAAACUGAACAGCAUUUUAGCAAUUAAAAGGCAUUAUUUUUAGUGCUUUUAUUUUAGCUUGGUGUUGCUAUAGAAAAUAAAGAACUGUGCCUUCCCUUCCCCCUGGUCCCC